UGCAUCGGCCGGGAAUCGAACCCGGGCCGCCCGUGUGGCAGGCGAGCCUUCUACCACUGAACCACCCAUUC
rnacentral:tRNA from 1 species